CCUACGGGAGGCAGCAGUGGGGAAUAUUGCACAAUGGGGGAAACCCUGAUGCAGCGACGCCGCGUGAGUGAAGAAGGAAUUCGGGAUGGAAAGCUCGAUCAGCAGGGAAGAAAAGGACGGUACCUGAGUAAGAAGCCCCGGCGAACUACGUGCCAGCAGCCGCGGUAAUACGAAGGGGGCAAGCGUUAUCCGGAGUGACUGGGUGUCAAGGGAGCGUAGACGGCAGGGCAAGUCUGGAGUGAAAGGCGGGGGCUCAACCCCCGGACUGCUCUGGAAACUGUACGGCUGGAGUGCAGGAGAGUUCAGUGGAAUUCCUCGUGUAGCGGUGACAUGCGUAGAUAUUAGGAGGACCCCCAGUGGCGCAGGCGGCUUACUGCACUGUACCUGACGUUGAGGCUC
rnacentral:rRNA from 1 species